rnacentral:lncRNA from 1 species
GUCUACAUAUUACCCUCCCCAGACCCCACUUUGUGGGACUAUACUGGGUAGGUGUUGUUGUUGUUGUUGUCUUAAUAUUAUCAUCCCGCUCUUUUUGUCAUUUUCGUUUGCAAAAUGUCUUCUACUUCGAUGAAAAUGAUAUGCUCCUAGUUCAUUUGUACAUAUCCACGAGGAGCUUGAUCUUCCCGGCUGUUAUUACUGCUUCAUGUCGGGGAAAAUAUUCUUUUAGCCGUUUAGGCAGUUAUUUGUGACUUUGACAGUUUAGUAGGAAGCUAUAUCCCUUCUCGGUCCCUAAUUUUUUUUUGGAGUGCGGAAAGAUUAGCUGCACUAGCUAUUUCCAGUUAUGUGUACUAUGUGAUCUUAAAGUUUCACAUGGUAUGACAGAGAAACUGGUUUGGACUGCGAAAUGCUUUUUUCUUUUGAGGUCCAGUGUGUAUAUCACAAUUCACAACUUCCUAUUAUGAUUGACUAAGCUUUAUGCACACUGCUGUCGAUCAUGGGGAAAAAAAGUGCCGAUAUCACCCUCAAAAAAAUUAUAUAUGACAUGACUUUGUUAAAUAUGGUCUAGUACUUGGGAUGCUUUCCUAAUACAAAGUAUGUUAGUCUAGGAGCAUAGUGAACAUGAACCAACAUAAAGAUGGAUCUUUGGUGCAGUAUCAAAAGUCCUCUUGUUGGAAUGAAGACUUGUCAUAACAGUAGUGUCUGCUAAGAGUCUUUUAGCCUGUUUAGAGAUGUGUAUGACCAUAUAAACUUCAAAGAAUUCGUAGUGUCAGAGAACUGCAAGGUAUUGAAUGUCAGAGGAAAAUAAGUCUAAACGGGGUGAGAUGGAUGGUGAGAAUUCAUACAGCCGAUCGUAACUAGCUUAGAAUUGAGACAUAAUAGUAGUUGUAGUAGUUAUUACUGCAUUUCAUAUCUGUAUAAAUUUCUGACUGAUACUUUUGGUGCCAGUUAGAGUCAAACUUGUGGUCUCUAGCACUUACCCCUGAUUGGCUUAAGCAUGUGGAUUCUUUAGCCAAAAUGGGUUCUGGGC